GAUGAACGCUGACAGAAUGCUUAACACAUGCAAGUCUUUGGCGAAGCUGUGCUUGCACAGCCUAGCCAAGGCGGACGGGUGAGUAACGCGUAAGGAACUUGCCCUGCAGUCAGGGAUAACAGACGGAAACGACUGAUAAGACCUGGUAAAGUCAGGCGGACUCAUGUCCAGCCUGAUGAAAAGAGAUGCUGCAGGAGAGCCUUGCGUCCUAUUAGCUUGUUGGUGGGGUAACGGCCCACCAAGGAGAUGAUAGGUAGCCGGCCUGAGAGGGUGGACGGCCACAAGGGGACUGAGAUACGGCCCUUACUACUACGGGAGGCAGCAGUGGGGAAUAUUGGACAAUGGGGGCAACCCUGAUCCAGCAAUUCUGUGUGAAAGAUGAAGGUUUUCGGAUUGUAAAGUGCUUUCAGCAGGGAAGAAAAAAAUGACGGUACCUGCAGAAGAAGCGACGGCUAAAUACGU
rnacentral:rRNA from 1 species